rnacentral:rRNA from 1 species
GAACGCUAGCUACAGGCUUAACACAUGCAAGUCGAGGGGCAGCAUGAACAUAGCUUGCUAUGUUUGAUGGCGACCGGCGCACGGGUGCGUAACACGUAUCCAAUCUGCCCGUUACUCGGGGGAUAGCCUUCUGAAAGGAAGAUUAAUACCCGAUGGCAUUCAUUGGCGGCAUCGCUUAUGAAUUAAAGAUUUAUCGGUAACGGAUGAGGAUGCGUACGAUUAGCUAGUUGGCGGGGUAACGGCCCACCAAGGCAACGAUCGUUAGGGGUUCUGAGAGGAAGGUCCCCCACACUGGAACUGAGACACGGUCCAGACUCCUACGGGAGGCAGCAGUGAGGAAUAUUGGUCAAUGGUCGGAAGACUGAACCAGCCAAGUAGCGUGAAGGAUGACUGCCCUACGGGUUGUAAACUUCUUUUGUUUGGGAAUAAAAGACGCUACGUGUAGCGUUCUGCAUGUACCUUACGAAUAAGCAUCGGCUAAUUCCGUG